UAGGGAAUCUUCGGCAAUGGACGAAAGUCUGACCGAGCAACGCCGCGUGAGUGAAGAAGGUUUUCGGAUCGUAAAACUCUGUUGGUAGAGAAGAACGUUGGUGAGAGUGGAAAGCUCAUCAAGUGACGGUAACUACCCAGAAAGGGACGGCUAACUACGUGCCAGCAGCCGCGGUAAUACGUAGGUCCCGAGCGUUGUCCGGAUUUAUUGGGCG
rnacentral:rRNA from 1 species